rnacentral:rRNA from 1 species
AUGUUGUUGGGGGUAGAGCACUGGAUAGACUAGGGGGAUUCACCGUCUUACCAAAUCUAACCAAACUCCGAAUACCAACAAUUAAUUAUACAGCAGACACACUGCGGGUGCUAAGUCCGUGGUGGAAAGGGAAACAACCCAGAUCACUAUCUAAGGUCCCAAAAUUACAGCUAAGUGGGGAAGGAAGUAGAAAAACCAUUACAGCUAGGAGGUUGGCUUGGAAGCAGCCAUCCUUUAAAGAAAGCGUAACAGCUCACUUGUCUAAAUAAGUUUUUCUGCGCUGAAAAUGUACCGGGGCUAAAGCUGUAUACCGAAGAUGUGAGCGCCUAUUGAUCAAGAUCAAUAGGCGCGGUAGCGGAGCGUUCCGUAAGUCUGUGAAGGUAGUUUGAGAAGACUGCUCGAGAUAUCGGAAGUGAGAAUGCUGACAUAAGUAGCGUAAAAGAGUGUGAAAAACACUCUCACCAAAAAUCUAAGGUUUCCUACGUUAAGUUAAUCUGCGUAGGGUUAGUCGGUUCCUAAGGCGAGUCCGUAAAGGAGUAGUCGAUGGCAAUUAGGUUAAUAUUCCUAAACCUCUUAAGUGUGACGGGUUUCGUAUUUGUAUAGGUCUUAUUGGAUUGACUUAUGCUUAAAAGAAGCUCCAGGAAAUAGCACUUAUAUUUAUGAGGCCGUACCGUAAACCGACACUGGUGGAUGAGUAGAGUAUACUAAGGUGUUGAAAGAAUGAUGUUGAAGGAACUCGGCAAAUUAUACCUGUAACUUCGGAAGAAGGGUAACCUGCUUUUAGGCAACUAUUGGUAGGUGGCACAAAAUAGGGAGUAGCGACUGUUUACUAAAAACACAGGACUCUGCAAACACGUAAGUGGAAGUAUAGGGUCUGACGCCUGCCCGGUGCUGGAAGGUUAAUAGGAAGGGUGCAAGCUCUGAAUUGAAGCCCCAGUAAACGGCGGCCGUAACACUGACGGUCCUAAGGUAGCGAAAUUCCUUGUCGGGUAAGUUCCGACCCGCACGAAUGGCGUAACGAUUUCUCCACUGUCUCCAACAUCAAUUCAGCGAAAUUGAAUUCCCCGUGCAGAUGCGGGGUACCCGCGGUUAGACGAAGAGACCCCGUGCACCUUUACUAUAGCUUUACAUUGCUGUUAAAAGUGUGAUGUGCAGGAUAGGUGGGAAGCUUUGAAGUUAUGGCGCUAGCUAUAAUGGAGCUGUCAUUGAGAUACCACCCUUCACACUUUUGAUAUCUAACUAUGUUUCAUUAUCUGGAACUAGGACAUUGUAUGGUGGGUAGUUUGACUGGGGCGGUCGCCUCCUAAAAAGUAACGGAGGCGUGCGAAGGUAAGCUAGAGCUGGUCGGAAAUCAGCUUAAUAGUAUAAUGGCAUAAGCUUGCCUGACUGCAAGGCUGACAAGCCAAGCAGAGACGAAAGUCGGUCAUAGUGAUCCGGUGAUUCUGUAUGGAAGGGUCAUCGCUCAACGGAUAAAAGGUACGCCGGGGAUAACAGGCUGAUGGUGUUCAAGCGUUCAUAGCGACGACACCGUUUGGCACCUCGAUGUCGACUCAUCACAUCCUGGGGCUGGAGAAGGUCCCAAGGGUUCGGCUGUUCGCCGAUUAAAGUGAUACGUGAGUUGGGUUUAGAACGUCGUGAGACAGUUCGGUUUCUAUCUGCCGUGGGUGAAGGAAAUUUGAGAAGGUCUGACUCUAGUACGAGAGGACCGAGAUGGAUAUACCUCUGGUGUACCAGCUGUUAUGCCAAUAGCAUCGCUGGGUAGCUAUGUAUAGAUGGGAUAAUUGCUGAAAGCAUAUAAGCAAGAAACCCUCUUCAAAAAGAUUUCCCAAUUAAGGCCGUGGAAGACUACCACGUUGAUAGGCUAGGUGUGUAAGCAUGGUAACAUGUUAAGCUAACUAGUACUAAUAGCCUGAUUGAUUUAUUUGC